UUCGCGGCUAUUUAAUUUUGCGAUUUUCUGAAGUUCAAUAAGGAAUGAUCCAUGUAUAACAUAUUCACGACGAUUAUUAUUCGCGUUAAUUUUCUAUUCGCGAAAAUAAGUUGGUUUACAGUAUCAUGCUAUACCAUACUGUCAGAUGAAAUAGUUUCGAUUGACUUUACAAUGCCGUUGUACUAUUUAUCAUCUUUAAACUGUUAUAUAAACCCUAACCUUGUUACUAAAGGUGUCAGUAAUUUAUUUACACAUGAUAUUAAUUUAUGAUACUAUCUGUUACCCAAAUUAUUAUACCAUUUAUAUAGUCAACAUUCUCCAUUCAGUUUCAUUUUAUGAAAUAUAUAUUAAUUUAAUUUUUCCUAAAUUUAAGAAGGCCACAACCUAAUGAAGGUUAAUUACUUUAGGAAACAAAAAGCUUGAUCCUCUCUUGUAGCCUUUAUUUUAUUUAAUUAUAAGUUCUGUAAUACACAUGCAAGGUAUACCUUAAAGAGAUCAGUAGUUCAAACAAAAUGUUAUAUGGGACAUUGUGGCCUUCUUGCCUAAGGGAACUUUAAGAAUUUGUAGUUUCAGAAACUAAAGAAAAAUGGUAAAUUUCAAUGUUCCAACCUCUAAAUGAAAAUAAUGUCAUGUCAUUGGUUAAUUUUUGAUAAUUUAGGAUGUUUUUAACCAAUCAUUAUAAUUUUACAAUAAAAUGAACACAUUUGAAAAUAUUACCCAAAAAUUGCAUUAGAUUCUGAAACAACGAAUUACACAUAUGAUUUACUUGUUUUGACCAAUUAUUUUAUUAUAAGCAUUUAUGCAUGUGUUUUAUACUGUACCUUUAUAUUAGUUUCAAGUUAUUUAAGAUGUAUUUAUUAUUGUAAGAUUCCCUUAUAAUAAAACGCAUGUCUGAU
rnacentral:lncRNA from 1 species